rnacentral:rRNA from 1 species
AACGAACGUUAGCGGCGCGCCUAACACAUGCAAGUCGCACGAGAGGGGGAUUCGUCCCUGGUAAAGUGGCGCACGGGUAAGUAACACGUGGGUAACGUUCCCUCAGGCGGGGGAUAACCUUCCGAAAGGAGGGCUAAUACCGCAUAAGACCACGGCCUCGAAAGAGGCUGCGGUAAAAGCAGGCCUCUAUACAUAAGCUU